rnacentral:rRNA from 1 species
AAUAGAUACCCCGGUAGUCCACGCCCUAAACGAUGUCAACUAGCUGUUGGGGCCUUCGGGCCUUGGUAGCGCAGCUAACGCGUGAAGUUGACCGCCUGGGGAGUACGGUCGCAAGAUUAAAACUCAAAGGAAUUGACGGGGACCCGCACAAGCGGUGGAUGAUGUGGAUUAAUUCGAUGCAACGCGAAAAACCUUACCUACCCUUGACAUGUCUGGAAUGCCGAAGAGAUUUGGCAGUGCUCGCAAGAGAACCGGAACACAGGUGCUGCAUGGCUGUCGUCAGCUCGUGUCGUGAGAUGUUGGGUUAAGUCCCGCAACGAGCGCAACCCUUGUCAUUAGUUGCUACGAAAGGGCACUCUGAUGAGACUGCCGGUGACAAACCGGAGGAAGGUGGGGAUGACGUCAAGUCCUCAUGGCCCUUAUGGGUAGGGCUUCACACGUCAUACAAUGGUCGGGACAGAGGGUCGCCAACCCGCGAGGGGGAGCCAAUCCCAGAAACCCGAUCGUAGUCCGGAUCGCAGUCUGCAACUCG